rnacentral:rRNA from 1 species
GCGUAUGGCCAUGCUACCCUGAACAAGCCCGAUCCCGUCUGAUCUCUGAAGCUAAGCAGGGUCGGGCCUGGUUAGUACUUGGGUGGGAGGCCACCGAGGAAGACCAGGCACUGUAGGUG